UAGGGAAUCUUCGGCAAUGGGGGCAACCCUGACCGAGCAACGCCGCCGUGAGUGAAGAAGGUUUUCGGAUCGUAAAGCUCUGUUGUAAGAGAAGAACGUGUGUGAGAGUGGAAAGUUCACACAGUGACGGUAACUUACCAGAAAGGGACGGCUAACUACGUGCCAG
rnacentral:rRNA from 1 species